rnacentral:lncRNA from 1 species
CCUCUACUAUUGUUAUGGUGCUGAGAAGCCUUACUGUUACUCCUCCCUUGCCUCUCUGUAAUAAGUACCUCAGAUUGGCUGAAGAUUCCUUGCUCUCUGCACCUUGUUUCUUCAUUAUACAUGCUAUCCUUCACCAUAUUCAAUGUCAAAACACCUUUAAGGGCAGAGUUGCUAAGUGAUACAACAAGUAUCUCCCAACUGUCAGGUAAGGAGA